rnacentral:rRNA from 1 species
UGCAGUAGAACGCUGAAGAGAGGAGCUUGCUCUUCUUGGAUGAGUUGCGAACGGGUGAGUAACGCGUAGGUAACCUGCCUUGUAGCGGGGGAUAACUAUUGGAAACGAUAGCUAAUACCGCAUAACAAUGGAUGACACAUGUCAUUUAUUUGAAAGGGGCAAUUGCUCCACUACAAGAUGGACCUGCGUUGUAUUAGCUAGUAGGUGAGGUAACGGCUCACCUAGGCGACGAUACAUAGCCGACCUGAGAGGGUGAUCGGCCACACUGGGACUGAGACACGGCCCAGACUCCUACGGGAGGCAGCAGUAGGGAAUCUUCGGCAAUGGGGGCAACCCUGACCGAGCAACGCCGCGUGAGUGAAGAAGGUUUUCGGAUCGUAAAGCUCUGUUGUAAGUCAAGAACGAGUGUGAGAGUGGAAAGUUCACACUGUGACGGUAGCUUACCAGAAAGGGACGGCUAACUACGUGCCAGCAGCCGCGGUAAUACGUAGGUCCCGAGCGUUGUCCGGAUUUAUUGGGCGUAAAGCGAGCGCAGGCGGUUUGAUAAGUCUGAAGUUAAAGGCUGUGGCUCAACCAUAGUUCGCUUUGGAAACUGUCAAACUUGAGUGCAGAAGGGGAGAGUGGAAUUCCAUGUGUAGCGGUGAAAUGCGUAGAUAUAUGGAGGAACACCGGUGGCGAAAGCGGCUCUCUGGUCUGUAACUGACGCUGAGGCUCGAAAGCGUGGGGAGCGAACAGGAUUAGAUACCCUGGUAGUCCACGCCGUAAACGAUGAGUGCUAGGUGUUGGAUCCUUUCCGGGAUUCAGUGCCGCAGCUAACGCAUUAAGCACUCCGCCUGGGGAGUACGACCGCAAGGUUGAAACUCAAAGGAAUUGACGGGGGCCCGCACAAGCGGUGGAGCAUGUGGUUUAAUUCGAAGCAACGCGAAGAACCUUACCAGGUCUUGACAUCCCGAUGCUAUUUCUAGAGAUAGAAAGUUACUUCGGUACAUCGGUGACAGGUGGUGCAUGGUUGUCGUCAGCUCGUGUCGUGAGAUGUUGGGUUAAGUCCCGCAACGAGCGCAACCCCUAUUGUUAGUUGCCAUCAUUCAGUUGGGCACUCUAGCGAGACUGCCGGUAAUAAACCGGAGGAAGGUGGGGAUGACGUCAAAUCAUCAUGCCCCUUAUGACCUGGGCUACACACGUGCUACAAUGGUUGGUACAACGAGUUGCGAGUCGGUGACGGCAAGCUAAUCUCUUAAAGCCAAUCUCAGUUCGGAUUGUAGGCUGCAACUCGCCUACAUGAAGUCGGAAUCGCUAGUAAUCGCGGAUCAGCACGCCGCGGUGAAUACGUUCCCGGGCCUUGUACACACCGCCCGUCACACCACGAGAGUUUGUAACACCCGAAGUCGGUGAGGUAACCUUUGGAGCCAGCCGCCUAAGU